rnacentral:rRNA from 1 species
CAGUCGCCGCGGUAAUACAGAGGGUGCAAGCGUUAAUCGGAUUUACUGGGCGUAAAGGGCGCGUAGGUGGUUAUUUAAGUGAGAUGUGAAAUCCCCGGGCUUAACCUGGGAACUGCAUCUUAUACUAGGUAACUGGAGUGCAGUAGAGGGUAGUGGAAUUUCCGGUGUAGCGGUGAAAUGCGUAGAUAUCGGAAGGAACACCAGUGGCGAAGGCGGCUACCUGGACUGAGACUGACACUGAGGCGCGAGAGCGUGGGGAGCAAACAGGAUUAGAGACCCCUGUAGUCCCUGUCUCUUAUAA